CUCUCUCUCUCUCUCUCUCUCUCUCUCUCUCUUCCAACAGGGAACAGAUGAAAGGUCAAAGGUGUCACCUGUAGAGGAAGCCGCCCUCUGCCGCUCGCAUGCCAGUGCCUCAUUUCACACACGCGCAUACACACACAGUUCACCAACUCCCAGGGGAUGGGCAGGACUCAGCUGGGAGCCAUUACAGGUGCUGUCUAAGCACACACAAAUAUCCAUACAUGAGCACACCCACAGCUCCAUGGCUGAUGUGAGUCUUCCAGAGUGACACUCAGCCACCUCUGACCCUUUUUGUGUCCUUCCUAAUCAUCAUCAGCACACACUUAACUACCUUCACAAUCAUCAUCAUUGCUUCAAGACUGACAGAAGACUCUAUUUUGACUAAGACACACAUACUUCAAGUUCUCAAAAAACACUGACCCCAGUGAUCCAACAGAUGUCAGUGAUUUCUGCCAAGAGUUGGAUCACCUGAAAUUAAAAUUCCACGUCCCUCUGCUGUCCGAGCCACAAAAUCUAUUUAUUAAGCUUUGUUUUCAAACUUUUUGAAACCUUCACUGGCCAUCUAUUGAAGCAUGAUUAAAGCCGAGAGUCUUUCAUGGCCUAUUUCACCCUCCGCUCUGUUCCUCUCAGCAUGUGCAGGGAUGCUUCUUCCAGAUGUGCAGGAGACGACUCCUGUACGAGCGCUGUAUGUGCAUGUGCAAGGUGUUGAUACCUAACUUUACUUCUCCUCUCCUAAAGGAGUGGUAGUCGCUGACAGGCAGGGAUCCGGUGGGCCAGUGGUCCUGUCCCCUAGGCCAACGUGUCUUCAGCUUCAGUACAGGGGGGAGAGCUGCUGAGCGCCACACACGCUGGCUCGAUGAAAAAGCUCUAAUUACAACAAGGGGAAUUGGUUAUUCUUCAUGAGUCAUACACAGGAUAUGAGACAGUAUGUCCAGACGGUCAGUCGGGAUCCGGGAUUCAGCAGGAAAAGAGGCAUGUUGCUAAAGCCCAAUGAAAAUAAAAUUGAAAGCAAAUCUAUAUUACAGUUAUGAGAUAAGACAGAAAAGAGACUCGAGUUGUGUUUAAGGGUCAGGUCAAACACAGGAAGCCGAGCUGAUUGGUUCUACUCAGAUAUCGAUGGGCAUGUGUGACCAAUCGCUGCGACCAGGGCUUUCCCCAGUCUCCAUCUGCUGUUGCUGUGGCUGGUAAGUGUGUGUCUAAUCGUUCCAGCCCAGGGCUUUCUCCCAGUUUCCACUCACCUCUUGACCAUUGCUUCCUGUCAAAUGUGUUAACGCUGCUUUUAAUCAGUUUUACUGUCUCAUGCACACACACACACACACACGCGCGCCAAUACAGCUGGUCCUAUCCAUCCCUGCUCCCCGCAGCAUGCUUCAUUAAGAUUUCACCUCACCCCAUAACCCAGCUGAUAUCUCUUACAGUCAAACAACCCGUGAACAUGGACAUGUAGCCUUGUCUUUACCCUUUACUGAGGCCGUCUGCCAGUCUCCGUUACAGCACACACAUUCUGCAGUAUGAACUGUGCGCAAUGCUUCACUUUGAAAAUACACUUGACAGACUCGACUAGACUACCAAAGCCUUAGGCUAAAUCAAACAAACAGAAGUUUCUAUUUAACUCUUUCUGUUUCAGAAAAUUGAGUUAAAACACUUCAUGCCCUGUUCUACUCUUCCUGGUUUGGUUCACUAGUUGGCUCUUCGAAGCUAAGCUAGCCAUGCAGCAGUCUUUAAUCUAGUUUGAACGCUACUGCAUGGCUAGCUUAGCGUAAAAAGUCCAACUCGUGGAAAAAAAAAAACCUAAAGCAUUAUAGGCCUCCUUAAAUAGUAACUUUGAUGAGCACAUAGUUUAAACAAUAUGUGCCUGCUAAACAUAACAUUUCACAACUAUUGAUAAGGAUCACAGCAGAAGGUCUCUGUCUUGAAUGAUCUAGAGUCUGAAUCACAAAGGGCCAUGAAGCUUCUGUUCAUACAGGUGAGCUCUCCUGGACUGUUGUUAAUUGUCAUGAGCAUGUUAGAUAGAUCAGCACUAUUCUGCAGCACAGACUUUUGUUGAUGUAUCUUCUGUUUCUGUAAACAAAAAUUUGGAGGGGGUUUGGUUACACUUACUGAACAUAUAUUUUGUAGUAUAACAACAUUUUGUCUCAAUGAGCUGCCUGUAUAUUGACUCAUUAUUAGUAGUGAAUUGAUGGGGUUAAUAAAGCAAAACUCUAGUUGUUUACAAGAUGACAUUGUUCUGAUAAUGUGAGAAACAGAAAUUAUAUCUAUUAAUAAGACUUUAUUAUUAUACCAGUAUAAAGUACUGCAUGUGUGUGUAGGUGUGUGUGUGGUGCAUAUGGUAAAACACUCUGCAGGUCUUCUGUUAGUCACACUUCCGCGUCUCAAAUUGAAUUAGCGUUGACAGCGCACAGCGCCAGCCGCGUGUAUGUGUGUAUGCACUGGGAGCAUGAGCUGUUGGCAAGCUGUCUGUGUGUGUGUUUGAAACAGAGAAGAGAGAGAGGCCUUCCCCCCUGAAAUCAAUUAAGCGAGUAUAGGUUUGUAGGUCUGGUGGUGAGGGGGGCACAUCCUGUAGAGGGCAGCGCAGACAGACAGCGACAUCUGGGGCAGCAGGCAGGUCGACCCUGGGUUGAGACAUGAAAGAAGCAGGGCAGGGAUAAGGGGAGAGGAGAGAACAGGCCAGCGUUAAAUCACUCUGUUCUCUCCCCUUCUACCCUCACCUCAGCCCCUCAUCUGCCAUCCGAUACAUCAGCCAUGGAGCAUCCUUUUCCUUCACUCUCUCUCUAUCUCUCCCCCCUCUCUCUUCUGUAUCUGUCCCAGGAGUGAUAACCUGUCAUACACAGGAAGCAAAAAGAGCUAAAAACGAUCUAUCCUUCUGUCAGAGAUAAGGGCAAGGAGAAAAAAGAAUAUCUCACAUCUCUUGUUCCAAAAGACUUGAUUUAUAGGUCCAUAUCAAAUAAAAUCAUUGCCAGAGAGCACCCUCUCUCGUUAUACAAUAAUCUGUCAGACACACACACACACACACACACACACACACACACACACACACACACACACACACA